rnacentral:rRNA from 1 species
UCCGUAGGGGGGAACCUGCGGAGGGAUCAUUA